rnacentral:rRNA from 1 species
UACGGAGGAUGCGAGCGUUAUCCGGAUUUAUUGGGUUUAAAGGGUGCGUAGGCGGACAAAUAAGUCAGUGGUGAAAACCUUCAGCUUAACUGGAGACUUGCCGUUGAUACUGUUUGUCUUGAGUACGGUCAAGGUAGGCGGAAUGUGUAAUGUAGCGGUGAAAUGCUUAGAUAUUACACAGAACACCGAUUGCGAAGGCAGCUUACUGGGCCGCAACUGACGCUGAUGCACGAAAGCGUGGGGAG